GAUGAACGCUGGCGGCGUGCCCAAUACAUGCAAGUCGAGCGAACAGACGAGGAGCUUGCUCCUCUGACGUUAGCGGCGGACGGGUGAGUAACACGUGGAUAACCUACCUAUAAGACUGGGAUAACUUCGGGAAACCGGAGCUAAUACCGGAUAAUAUAUUGAACCCCAUGGUUCAAUAGUGAAAGACGGUUUUGCUGUCACUUAUAGAUGGAUCCGCGCCGCAUUAGCUAGUUGGUAAGGUAACGGCUUACCAAGGCGACGAUGCGUAGCCGACCUGAGAGGGUGAUCGGCCACACUGGAACUGAGACACGGUCCAGACUCCUACGGGAGGCAGCAGUAGGGAAUCUUCCGCAAUGGGCGAAAGCCUGACGGAGCAACGCCGCGUGAGUGAUGAAGGUCUUCGGAUCGUAAAACUCUGUUAUUAGGGAAGAACAAAUGUGUAAGUAACUAUGCACGUCUUGACGGCACCUAAUCAGAAAGCCACGGCUAACUACGU
rnacentral:rRNA from 1 species